rnacentral:rRNA from 1 species
GAUGAACGCUGGCGGCGUGCCUAACACAUGCAAGUCGAGCGGACAGACGUCGUCGUUGCUUCGCUAACGGUGGACGCGGACGGGAGAGUAACACGAGCAGCACCUAUCUAUGGGACUGGGAUAACUACGGGAAAUCGGUGCUCAUUACUGUAUAUAUCGUCAACCUUUAAGUUUAAUAGUUAAAGAGGGUAUUGCUGUCCCCUCUCAAUAGUUCCGCGCCGCAUUAGUUAGUUGGCAAGGUAACGGCAUACCAAGGCAAGGAUGCGUAGCUGACCUGCGAGGGUGAUCGGCCACACUAGAACUGAAACGCGGUCCAGACUCCUACGGGACGCAGCAGUAGAGAAUGGUACGCUAGGGGAGGAAGCCUGACGGGACAACGCCGCGUCGGGGAUAAGAGGCUUCGGAUAGUAAAUCUCUGUUAUUAGUGAAGAACGAUUGUGUAAGUAACUAGGCACUUCUUGACGGUACUUAAUCAGAAAGCAACGGCUAACUACGUG